rnacentral:rRNA from 1 species
AACGUAUGAGGCAAGCGUUAUCCGGAGUUACUGGGCGUAAAGCGCGUGUAGGCGGCUCGGUAAGUGGGUCGUGAAAGCGCCCGGCUAAACUGGGCGAGGACGAUCGAGACUGCCAGGCUAGAGGGUGGUAGAGGGACAGGGAAUUCCGGGUGUAGCGGUGAAAUGUGUAGAGAUCCGGAGGAACACCAGUGGCGAAGGCGCUGUCCUGGGCCACCUCUGACGCUGAUACGCGAAGGCGUGGGGAGCGAACGGG